CCUACGUAGAUAAAUGCAGCAUUUAAGCUAACGUUAGCUAAAACACAGGAAGCAUCACAUCCUGGGUAGAUUUAGCAGGUAACGUGAACUAACGCAAACUGUUUAUAGACUAUGUGGCAGGAUAUUGUGAGGAGAAGAAGAAGGGGAGACAAAAUAAAACAACUUCUUACACAAUUUAAAACUGAAAUCGGCUUGUUUCAUGGUCGACAAUGUGCAGCUGUGUUUAGUGUAGUUACAAUGUUUGUUGAUGACAAGAUCUCGGAUCAAUUGUUCACGUUGCUGUAUCCCAAAGACCAAACCAGAGAGAACAACCAUGAGAUGUGGCCCAGAGGGAGGUCCAGUGACUGUCCAGUGAAAGAACAUCAUCAACAGUUUGUUUUGAGGGACAUAGUGGCUGCUACCAAAGUCAAAGGCCCGGAUGCUGCGUGUCCUCCUACUGCAGCCCUCAGUGGAAGAUAGACGACAAACCACAUAUGUCCAGCCAGGGCAUCUCUCCGGCGACAAGCGUAGUUGCAAACGGGACAUUUGAAAGGCUUUUCUCCCGAAUGUAACUUGAUGUGGCGCAACAAGUUCCCCUUCUGGGUGAAGGAAGCUCCACACUGGUUACACUGGAAAGGCCUCUCACCUAUGGACACAUGGAUGCAUGGACAGAGGAUUUUAGAGCACGUUGGGUCCGAUGCAGAUCAUCCCACACACCUCACACUGGAGCUUCCCAUUGGGCAGCCGGAUAGGUCCUGGUGAAGCAGCAUUUGGACUGGCCAUCUCAUUGUAAAUGCUCCCACUGUCUCUUCCUGCCCCUGGGUACUCUGCGCUCCCUUCUUCCAUGGGGUCCCCUCUGUCUUCCCUCCCGCUAUCAUCCGUCACAGCCUCUCUGUUCUCUGGCUGUGGAGCACCUGGUGACUCAUCGUCGCUGCACAGCUCAACCUUGAUGGAGUUUGCUGUGUAGAGAGAGUUAGGGGAAAAACACAUUUACUGUCAUAAUGUCAAUGAAGAAUUAUAUACACACCAUGUGGCCACAAUUAAAAGAAAUAAUAACUGACCACUCAGGGAGCGGUGUGGUGAGGACUGCUGACUGUUUGGAGAUGUCACUGAAGGGCCCUGCAACCUGCCAUAAAAAUCCUGUUCCGUUGAUGACUCUCCUCCAUUACCUGAAACACAAAUAUGCCCAUGUUAUUAAAGUAAACAUUAAAGCCUUGAGACUGUGCACACAAAUGUAUAGUUUCUCCUUUACAUAUAAACUUACCUUGUGCAUAUGAGCGUCCAUUGCAGUCAUCAGCAUUCAUUCUCUCACCAGAU